AACGAACGCUGGCGGCAUGCCUAACACAUGCAAGUCGAACGAGACCUUCGGGUCUAGUGGCGCACGGGUGCGUAACGCGUGGGAACCUGCCCUUAGGUUCGGAAUAACUCCCCGUAAGGGGUGCUAAUACCGGAUAAUGUCUUCGGACCAAAGAUUUAUCGCCUUUGGAUGGGCCCGCGUUGGAUUAGCUAGUUGGUAGGGUAAAAGCCUACCAAGGGGACGUUCCAUAGCUGGUCUGGACGGAUGAUCAGCCAAACUGGGACUGAGACACGGCCCAGACUCCUACGGGAGGCAGAAGGGGGGAAUAUUGGACAAGGGGCGAAAGCCUGAUCCAGCAAUGCCGCGUGAGUGAUGAAGGCCGUAGGGUUGUAAAGCUCGUUUACCCGGGAUGAUAAUGACAGUACCGGGAGAAUAAGCUCCGGCUAACUCCGUG
rnacentral:rRNA from 1 species